rnacentral:rRNA from 1 species
AAGCAGAGGGGGCUUAGUGGUGGGGUGACUGCGUACCUUUUGUAUAAUGGGUCAGCGACUUAUAUUCUGUAGCAAGGUUAACCGAAUAGGGGAGCCGGAGGGAAACCGAGUCUUAACCGGGCGUUAAGUUGCAGGGUAUAGACCCGAAACCCGGUGAUCUAGCCAUGGGCAGGUUGAAGGUUGGGUAACACUAACUGGAGGACCGAACCGACUAAUGUUGAAAAAUUAGCGGAUGACCUGUGGCUGGGGGUGAAAGGCCAAUCAAACCGGGAGAUAGCUGGUUCUCCCCGAAAGCUAUUUAGGUAGCGCCUCGUGAAUUCAUCUCCGGGGGUAGAGCACUGUUUCGGCUAGGGGGUCAUCCCGACUUACCAACCCGAUGCAAACUGCGAAUACCGGAGAAUGUUAUCACGGGAGACACACGGCGGGUGCUAACGUCCGUCGUGAAGAGGGAAACAACCCAGACCGCCAGCUAAGGUCCCAAAGUCAUGGUUAAGUGGGAAACGAUGUGGGAAGGCCCAGACAGCCAGGAUGUUGGCUUAGAAGCAGCCAUCAUUUAAAGAAAGCGUAAUAGCUCACUGGUCGAGUCGGCCUGCGCGGAAGAUGUAACGGGGCUAAACCAUGCACCGAAGCUGCGGCAGCGACACUAUGUGUUGUUGGGUAGGGGAGCGUUCUGUAAGCCUGCGAAGGUGUCUCGUGAGGGAUGCUGGAGGUAUCAGAAGUGCGAAUGCUGACAUAAGUAACGAUAAUGCGGGUGAAAAACCCGCACGCCGGAAGACCAAGGGUUCCUGUCCAACGUUAAUCGGGGCAGGGUGAGUCGACCCCUAAGGCGAGGCCGAAAGGCGUAGUCGAUGGGAAACAGGUUAAUAUUCCUGUACUUGGUGUUACUGCGAAGGGGGGACGGAGAAGGCUAUGUUGGCCGGGCGACGGUUGUCCCGGUUUAAGCGUGUAGGUGUGUGUUCCAGGUAAAUCCGGUUCACUUUAACACUGAGGCGUGAUGACGAGGCACUACGGUGCUGAAGCAAC